UACGAAGGGGGCUAGCGUUGUUCGGAAUUACUGGGCGUAAAGCGCACGUUAGGCGGAUACUUAAGUCAGGGGUGAAAUCCCGGGGCUCAACCCCGGAACUGCCUUUGAUACUGGGUAUCUCGAGUCCGGAAGAGGUGAGUGGAAUUCCGAGUGUAGAGGUGAAAUUCGUAGAUAUUCGGAGGAACACCAGUGGCGAAGGCG
rnacentral:rRNA from 1 species